rnacentral:rRNA from 1 species
AUUGAACGCUGGCGGCAGGCUUAAAAAAUGCAAGUCGAGCGAGCGGCGGACGGGUGAGUAAUGUCUGGGAAACUGCCUGAUGGAGGGGGAUAACUACUGGAAAAGGUAGCUAAUACCGCAUAGCAUCAGAUGUGCCCAGAUGGGAUUAGCGAGUAGGUGGGGUAUUGGCUCACCGAGGCGACGAUCCCUAGCUGGCCUGAUAGGAUGACAAUCCACACUGGAACUGAGACCCGGUCCAGACUCCGACGGGAGGCAGCAGUGGGGAAUAUUGCACAAGUGGCGCAAGCCUUAUGCAGCCAGGCCGCGUGUGUGAAGAAGGCCUUCGGGUUGUAAAGCACUUUCAGCGAGGAGGCGUUACUCGCAGAAGAAGCACCGGCUAACUCCGUGCCAGCAGCCGCGGUAAUUC